rnacentral:rRNA from 1 species
CGCUAAGCCUAAAUAUUCCCUGGUGACCGAUAGCGGAUAGUACCGUGAGGGAAUGGUGAAAAGUACCCCGGGAGGGGAGUGAAAUAGUACCUGAAACCGUGUGCCUACAAGCCGUGGGAGCGUCGGAUAUGUGCUUGCACAUAUCUCGUGACUGCGUGCCUUUUGAAGAAUGAGCCUGCGAGUUUGCGGUGUGUUGCGAGGUUAACCCGUGUGGGGAAGCCGUAGCGAAAGCGAGUCCGAAUAGGGCG